rnacentral:rRNA from 1 species
GGGUCAGUAGGUUGGUCGUGCCACCGGUACGUACUGGUCUCACUGAUUCCUCCUUCCUGAAGAGCCGUAAUGCCAUUAACUUGGUGUUGCGGGGAAACAGGACUGUUACUUUGAAAAAAUUAGAGUGUUUAAAGCAAGCUAACGCUUGAAUACAUUAGCAUGGAAUAAUGAAAUAGGACGAUCGAUCCUAUUUUGUUGGUUUCUAGGAUUGACGUA